CCCUAAUCCAGAAUUCCCAGGGAUGCAAAAUAUUCCACAUCUGUUUGGUCAUUUUGCUAAAUUUCAUUAGAUUUGGCCCUCAAAUUUGAAAAAGCUUUCAUCUUGCUGUAAAUUUAAGUCUUUUCUCUUUGUGUUGGUCCAUCUCCUUAUAAUUGAAAGUCUCAGAAUUGAUAAUGGAUUUAUUGUGUUUGGGAAUUUCAGGAUUUUGGAUUUUGGUUGGUUUAGGUUGCUGCAGAUGGGGGCUUUGGAUGUAAGGCGGUGGUUGGCAGACACCGAAAGGUUGAUUACCCUCCUUAUGGAAGGGACUUUGUGAACCAUCAGCCUACUGGAAGGUUUUGCAAUGGCAAACUGGCCACUGACAUCAGUGGGGACGAAUUCUAGGACGGAGGUGAAAGGAUUUGGAAGAAUCAGAUGUGCCUAUUCAUUUGCAAGAUUGUUGGUGGGGAUGAUGUGGUUAACUGGAUUCUUUGAGUUAUUUGUGAUUUGAAAUUACCAGAGUCGCCCUCCAUUGUGCCGAUAUCACAUGGGACUGAAAAUAAUAUCCCACUUUCGUUUGGAUGGGUAGGACAUCUUUUAGUUUAUGAAAGCCUCUUUGAAGGGAUCAAUUAUU